GACGUAGGGCGCGAGCGUUGUCCGGAAUUAUUGGGCGUAAAGAGCUCGUAGGCGGUCUGUCGCGUCGAUCGUGAAAACUUGGGGCUUAACCCUGAGCUUGCGGUCGAUACGGGCAUGACUGGAGUUCGGCAGGGGAGACUGGAAUUCCUGGUGUAGCGGUGAAAUGCGCAGAUAUCAGGAGGAACACCGGUGGCGAAGGCGGGUCUCUGGGCCGAUACUGACGCUGAGGAGCGAAAGCGUGGGGAGCGAACAGG
rnacentral:rRNA from 1 species